rnacentral:sRNA from 1 species
GUAUUUCAGUUGAAGGUGCUGCAUUUAAUAAGCUUUUUCAUUCCACUCCGUAAGUGCUGCAGACCGCAGCUGCUUCUAAUGGGCCAUCUAUACGAUUUUCUGUCUGAGAAUAAGCCUGAGUAGACAUAGAUGUUUAACAGGUGGCAAUAAUAAUAUGUAGCUAAAUUCCUCAGGGCAUUAUGUAUUAAUUAAACACAGAUGCAAGUUAGGUCUUCUUUCUAUAUUUGGUCUAUUUUUACCUCUAGACUCUACAAUGAAGUUUUAAUUAAUCCUUCAUAACUUAAGAUUUUGUUAAUCUUUGGAAACAUUUUCCCAAGUAUAUAAUCUGCUAACUGUGAAGGAUCUCACCAAUUUUCCUGACAAUGUGGACCAGCAGGAGGAAGAACAAGGACACUGUCCCCGUCCUUUCUUCAUUCGUAAUGGAGCCGUCUAUGUUCCCUUAUCAAGUAAUGAAGCAGAUAUUUAUAGCUUCCUCAAGGGGAUGGGAUUGAAGGUGUUCACUAACUCAAAAAUCCGAAAACCAAAGUCGUGUUCAGUCAUCCCCUCCGUGUCUGCAGGAGCAGUAGGUCAAGGAUACUAUGGAGCAGGUCUAGGAGUAGUAGAGAGACCAUAUGUUCCUCAAUUAGGCACAUAUGAUGUGAUACCCUUAAAUAAUGAACAAAGUUCAGGGCCAGUCCCUGAAACGGUGCGAAGCUAUUUUCCUGAGACUUGGAUCUGGGAGUUGGUGGCAGUGAACUCAUCAGGUGUGGCUGAGGUAGGAGUAACAGUCCCUGACACCAUCACCGAGUGGAAGGCAGGGGCCUUCUGCCUGUCCGAAGAUGCUGGACUUGGUAUCUCUUCCACUGCCUCUCUCCGAGCCUUCCAGCCCUUCUUUGUGGAGCUCACAAUGCCUUACUCUGUGAUUCGUGGAGAGGUCUUCACACUCAAGGCCACGGUCCUAAACUACCUUCCCAAAUGCAUCCGGGUGCUAAUGUGUCUGAGCAGUUGUCCUUGAAGCUCCCAUCAAAUGUGGUCAAAGAAUCUGCCAGAGCUUCUUUCUCAGUUCUGG